rnacentral:rRNA from 1 species
GAUGAACGCUAGCGGCAGGCUUAACACAUGCAAGUCGAGGGGCAGCAUAAAUAGUAGCAAUACUAUUGGUGGCGACCGGCGGACGGGUGCGUAGCGCGUAUACAACCUUCCCUAAACAGGGGGAUAAUCUGGAGAAAUUCGGUCUAAUACCCCAUAACAUCAGAGCAGGCAUCUGUUUUGGUUAAAAUUUCCGGAGGUUUAGGAUGGGUAUGCGUAGCAUUAGCUAGUUGGUGAGGUAACGGCUCACCAAGGCGACGAUGCUUAGGGGGACUGAGCGGUUAACCCCCCACACUGGUACUGAGACACGGACCAGACUCCUACGGGAGGCAGCAGUGAGGAAUAUUGGUCAAUGGGCGGAAGCCUUAACCAGCCAUGCCGCGUGCAGGAUGACGGCUCUAUGAGUUGUAAACUGCUUUUGUACGAGGGUAAAGUGGGCUACGUGUAGCCUUUUGAAAGUAUCGUACGAAUAAGGAUCGGCUAACUCCGUGCCAGCCGCCGCCGUAA